GACGAACGCUGGCGGCGUGCUUAACACAUGCAAGUCGAACGAUGAUCAGGAGCUUGCUCCUGUGAUUAGUGGCGAACGGGUGAGUAACACGUGAGUAACCUGCCCCUGACUCUGGGAUAAGCGUUGGAAACGACGUCUAAUACUGGAUAUGAUCACUGGCCGCAUGGUCUGGUGGUGGAAAGAUUUUUUGGUUGGGGAUGGACUCGCGGCCUAUCAGCUUGUUGGUGAGGUAAUGGCUCACCAAGGCGACGACGGGUAGCCGGCCUGAGAGGGUGACCGGCCACACUGGGACUGAGACACGGCCCAGACUCCUACGGGAGGCAGCAGUGGGGAAUAUUGCACAAUGGGCGAAAGCUGAUGCAGCAACGCCGCGUGAGGGAUGACGGCCUUCGGGUUGUAAACCUCUUUUAGUAGGGAAA
rnacentral:rRNA from 1 species